rnacentral:lncRNA from 1 species
GUAAAAUCAAAGAAACUGUAAUGUUGUAGAUAUUUGGACCAUUUUCCUGUAGAAAUGUGAACACGUCAAUAAUUUGAGAUGAUAUUUAAGUGGAUGAUGUUUGUGUUUGGAUGGAUUAGAUGAAGCUCUGCUGCUUGGAGAGCUUUUUCCUCAGGAUCAGCCAAAGCCAGAAACCACGGGGAACCUUACAUCACUGAGGUCAAAGGUAAAGGUCAUGCAGCGAAGGAGCCCUAAAGAAGACUGUCCCAGUGAUUUUGAGCUGAUGUCCAGUAUGAUGAAGAGACUGGGCCAGUUAGAGAAGAAGGUCAAGACUCAGGCUCUGGACAUCAACAGCAAGAUGAAAAGAAUAGCAGUUCUGGAGGAGAAACUUCAACUCCUGCAAGGUAAAAUCCUGUUAGCAACACCACAUCAACCACCUGAGAUCCCAUAGUAAGCAAUAAGCAACACCGCAGC